UACGUAGGUGGCAAGCGUUAUCCGGAUUUACUGGGUGUAAAGGGCGCGUAGGCGGGAUCGCAAGUCAGAUGUGAAAACUAUGGGCUUAACCCAUAGCCUGCAUUUGAAACUGCGGUUCUUGAGUGAUGGAGAGGCAGGCGGAAUUCCUAGUGUAGCGGUGAAAUGCGUAGAUAUUAGGAGGAACACCAGUGGCGAAGGCGGCCUGCUGGACAUUAACUGACGCUGAUGCGCGAAAGCGUGGGGAGCAAACAGG
rnacentral:rRNA from 1 species